GGUAGCCUAGUGGUUAGAGUGUAGGGGUGGCAGGUAGCCUAGUGGUUAGAGUGUAGUGGUGGCAGGUAGCCUAGUGGUUAGAGUGUGGGGGUGGCAGGGUAGACUAGUGGUUGGAGUGUAGGGGCGGCAGGUAGCCUAGUGGUUAGAGUGUAGUGGUGGCAGGUAGCCUAGUGGUUAGAGUGUAGAGGUGGCAGGUAGCCUAGUGGUUAGAGUGUAGUGGUGGCAGGUAACCUAGUGGUUAGAGUGAAGGGGCGGCAGGUAACCUAGUGGUUACAGUGUAGGGGCAGCAGGUAAUCUAGUGGUUAGAGUGUAGAGGCGGCAGGUAACCUAGUGGUUAGAGUGGAGGGGCGGCAGGUAACCUAGUGGUUAGAGAGUAGGGGAGGCAGGUAGCCUGGUGGUUAGAGUGUAGAGGCGGCAGGUAACCUAGUGGUUAGAGUGUAGGGGUGGCAGGUAACCUAGUGGUUAGAGUGUAGGGGAGGCAGGUAGCCUAGUGGUUAGAGUGUGGGGGGCGGC
ensembl:lncRNA